rnacentral:ncRNA from 1 species
AUAAAAGCAGUGAUGGGAACAAGGUAUCUGUAUAUAGCCGCAGAGAGCAGGCAUUUCGGUGGAAACCUGUGCGUGUGCAGAUGCGUAUGCGUCGCCCCGGAGCUGGCUGCCUAAAGCCAAAAGGAUAGUAGGGCAGUCCGUGUGCCAGCGUUACCGGCAGAGAGGGCCCAUAUAGGGCCAAAUGCGGGUGGUACCGCGGAAUUUGCAAAUUUCGCCCCGGAC